UGUCUCUAUGAUCCUGUGAUCCUGACAUCCUGAGUGUAAGAGCUUCUGGGAGUCAAGCUGCCUAUGGAAUCCAGAAAUCCUGGUGUGGCCAAGUUCCUGAGACCCUGUGAUCCUAUGAUCCUAUGAUCCUAGAUGUAAAUCCCUCCUGGACUGGCAAUAAUGAAGGCUCCUCUCAGAUGGUACCCAGGAAUCUCCUAGAGAAGCCAGCAUGAGUACAAAAUCAACUCCCAGGAAAGUUACUAAGUAAUGCUUCCAAAAACGUUAUAUGAACAUGUGCUAGAUAUCCUAGUGUGAACUAUUCAUAAAGGCCUCCUGUAAGUCAAAACCCUCAACUUUCUAUUAAUGUGGUUGAGUUUAAACAGAAAUACUACCAAAUCAUCUAAAAAGGAGAUCCCAAAAAGCGUAAGAUUUUAGAUCCUUAAUAAUCCACCACAUACGUUUUUUGGAAAAAAGGAAUAAGGACUAAGAUGAUGUAUAUAGCUAUCUUAAACCCUAAGGUUUGUUACUGUAACAGGAACCACUAAGGAUGGAAGAGCUGAGCUCAUAACCCUUAGAGAAAUCUUCCUUGAAGAGCCACAUAAUGCACUAUCUUGGAAAAGAACAACACACUUCUAGACAGACAUAGAGUGACAAUGAGAGGGAAAAAUGCCAACCCCAGGCAAGGACAGCUGGUGGGAAACACACUUCCUUGGUUUACAGCUACUCCAGGGAGAGACAUGCCAAUUCCUAGAUAAGUCACCAUCUGAUGGGAAUUACAACCUAGCUGACAGUUUAGAAGCAAUUCACACAGGACUUAUGCCUUCAGUCUGCUCAUUUUGCUCUCUAAAAGUUGAAUAGCACAGCAUAAUAACAACUUCAAUUAUCCACCACAGAUCCAUAGGCUACUUCCUCAGCUUCGGCAGUCCAAAUAGAUUCUCCAAAGGUUACAUAGUAUAUAUCACAUGAGUUAGAACAACUGCCUACAGAGAUUACCACUGAAAUUCUCCCUCAGGUUGUAUUCACAUAAUCAGUCAACCAAAUACAUUGUGAUGAGAUGGCUGAAUAAAACCACUUCUCAAACCACAGCUGUCUGGAAGAUGCUUUUCCUAUAUGUGGUAUCAAAAUCUUGGGAAAAGAAUAAAUGCAAAGAAAGAUAAUCUGUAGCGUCUCAGUAAAGCGUCCUAAAUACAGCAUCUAAUUUUUAUUUUUACACAGAAUAGAACCACAGAACAACUACACACUGGGAUCACACUCAACCUACAAAAGUAGACAGAGUAACUAGAGAUCCCAUCCUUAAGAAGUAUAAAAUACAAGGCUAUAGAGGCAGAUCAGUCAGUAUAGUGCUUUCCAUACAUGCAUAAGAAUCUGAGCAUACGAAUGCAUGGAUAAAAACUGGGUGUGACUGCCAGGUACAUAUAAUCCUGUUGCUGAAGAGACAGAGAUAGCAAGAUCCCCAGGGUUCAAUGGCCAGCUAGUCUAAUCCAAUAGCUAGUGAACCCUAGGUCUCAGUAAGAGACUCUGUCUCAAAAAAUAAGGGAGAGAAACAAGUCAGGAAGACACCUAAUGUCAAACUCUGGCCUCUACACCAAGCAUAUAUACAAACAAGCAAACACACAAACACAAGACAGGAAUUAUAAAAAUAUGUUCCAAAACCACAAGAAAUUUCAGUGAAUAAAACCAUGCUGGUUUUGUUUUGUUGUUAUUGUUUGUUGGUUUGUUCUGUUUUUAGUUAAAACUCUUUAAAGCAACAAUGUCGAAAACCCUAACCUAAUAGCUCAAUCUUUUAAUUGGACAAAAAUAAGGAAGUAUUUACUGAUUGGUUUGCAUUUAAUGUGUUAGUUCCUACAUGAAAGCAUCAACUCCAACCACCCAAAGGAAUAACUCUAUAGUUCCUGCUAAAACCAUAAAGAAGGGAAUCAUUCAACACUCAGUGUAGAUGCUACACAGCAACACAACUCAAGACAGCCAUCUUCUCUGACAAAGCCUUUUCUAACAAAGCCUUUUGUUUACCUGGACAGCUGUAGGCUCAGCAACACACUGUCAUUCUCAAACACCUAAUUCUCCCAGAGUGCAGCGCUGGGCCUCAUACCGCUGGAGUUGAACAAAGGAAUCCAUUUCAUUAAAGAAGGCUCAUUCUCCAUGAAGCUUUCUUAGCUUCUACUUUCCUUCCCAGUAUCUGCUCUGCCUUUAAAUAUCAUACACAGAAUUGACUGCAGUGGUCUAUCCACUAGUCAUUUACACACUGGCAAAAUGCUGCUUGAAAGAAAUAUAUCCCAACAAGCUGGACACAGUGAUUGCCAUAUAAUUCCCCGAUGCACUUUUUAAAAAAGUGUUUUAUAUAUGUGUGUAUUUUGUCUGCAUAUAUAUCUACGUACUACAGGCAUGCCUAGUGUCCACGGAGGACAGCAGAGGGCACUGGAUCUUCUGAAACUAGAGAUUGAGUGGCCAGUUGUGAGUAGCUAUGUGGAUGCUGGGAACCUGAAUCCUUUGGAAGAAUAGCUGAUGUUACUAUUGAGCCAUGUUUCCAGGCCCUGUGCUUUUCUUAUGUUCCAAAAAUAUGUUUUUGUUAUUUUAACUAUAUAUGGGAAUGCGCACAUGUGUGCAGAUGCCCUUGGAGGCAGGAGACAUUAAAUCUCUGGGUGCUAGAGUUACAGGAGAUUGUGAGUCCAGAAAUGUAGCUGCUGGGAACUGAACUCAGGUCUUCUGCAAGAGCAGUAUGUAUUCUUAACCAUGUCUCCAGCUUCCAUAAUGCUUUCUCCAGUGUUUCUUCUCUAAGGUCAGUUUUCAAAAGCAUGAAUGAUUAUCUCAAGGUAAAGAUAACAACUUCAGACAUGUGGUACUUCAGCUCUAACUGGGGAAUGGGAAAACAUGAUUUUUCUCUGUGGUAGUUGAAUUAAAAUGGACUCCAUAGGCUCAUAUAUUUGAAUGCUUGGUCCCCAGUGAGUGAAACUAUUUGGGAAGGACUGGGAAUGUGUCCUUGUUGAAGGAGGAGUGCCAUGGGGGCUGGGCUUUGAGAUUUCAAUAGCUUGUGUUAUUCCCAAUUUGCACACUCUCUUUGCCUCAAGCAUGUGGGAAAAAAAAUGUUAAGUUCUCAGCUACUAUCCUGUGCCAUGUGUUCCUGCCUGUUCCUAUGCUCCCCACUAUGAUGGUCACAGACUCAUCCUCUGAAACUUUAAGUGCCCAUUAAAUGCGUUCUUCUCUAAGUUGCCAUGGUCAUACUAUACUGUCUCUCUUCAUAGCAGUGGAAAAAUGACUAAGCUGGUAACUUAACUUCUCUGAGCCUCUGUCCUCCUCAGCUGCUCAAGCCCUCCUGGUCCAGUCCUUUCCCCCAAUGUCCGCCACCAGGUCUGCAAAGACAAAUACUAUUUGCCAGGUCUUCUUCAGCUUUGGCUCAAGGCUACUUCAAAUUCAGUCUCCCAAAGAGCCACCUUCUUUUAUCCUCUACAUUUUCUGGGCUUUAGUCCUUGGUUGUCCCUGGAAGAGUCUUUUGUUUUAAAAAAAAAAAAAAAAACAA